rnacentral:rRNA from 1 species
GACAGAGGGUGCAAACGUUGUUCGGAAUUACUGGGCGUAAAGCGCGUGUAGGCGGCCUAAGUAAGUCGGGCGUGAAAUCCCACGGCUCCAACCGUGGAAGUGCACUCGAAACUGCAUAGCUAGAGUCCUGGAGAGGAAGGUGGAAUGCUUGGUGUAGAGGUGAAAUUCGUAGAUAUCAAGCCGGAACACCGGUGGCGAAGGCGGC